rnacentral:rRNA from 1 species
UGGAUCCGUAAUCCGGGUUGCGGACAGUGUCUGGUGGGUAGUUUGACUGGGGCGGUCUCCUCCUAAAGAGUAACGGAGGAGCACGAAGGUUGGCUAAUCCUGGUCGGACAUCAGGAGGUUAGUGCAAUGGCAUAAGCCAGCUUGACUGCGAGCGUGACGGCGCGAGCAGGUGCGAAAGCAGGUCAUAGUGAUCCGGUGGUUCUGAAUGGAAGGGCCAUCGCUCAACGGAUAAAAGGUACUCCGGGGAUAACAGGCUGAUACCGCCCAAGAGUUCAUAUCGACGGCGGUGUUUGGCACCUCGAUGUCGGCUCAUCACAUCCUGGGGCUGAAGUAGGUCCCAAGGGUAUGGCUGUUCGCCAUUUAAAGUGGUACGCGAGCUGGGUUUAGAACGUCGUGAGACAGUUCGGUCCCUAUCUGCCGUGGGCGCUGGAGAACUGAGGGGGGCUGCUCCUAGUACGAGAGGACCGGAGUGGACGCAUCACUGGUGUUCGGGUUGUCAUGCCAAUGGCACUGCCCGGUAGCUAAAUGCGGAAGAGAUAAGUGCUGAAAGCAUCUAAGCACGAAACUUGCCCCGAGAUGAGUUCUCCCUGAGACUUAGAGUCUCCUGAAGGAACGUUGAAGACGACGACGUUGAUAGGCCGGGUGUGUAAGCGCAGCGAUGCGUUGAGCUAACCGGUACUAAUGAACCGUGAGGCUUAACCUU